UACGUAGGGAGCGAGCGUUAAUCGGAAUUACUGGGCGUAAAGCGUGCGCAGGCGGUUGUGUAAGACAGGAGUGAAAUCCCCGGGCUUAACCUGGGAACUGCGCUUGUGACUGCACGACUCGAGUGUAGCAGAGGGGGGUGGAAUUCCACGUGUAGCAGUGAAAUGCGUACAGAUGUGGAGGAACACCGAUGGCGAAGGCAGCCCCCUGGGUUAACACUGACGCUCAUGCACGAAAGCGUGGGUAGCAAACAGGAUUAGAUACCCUGGUAGUCCACGCCCUAAACGAUGCCAACUAGGUGUUGGGGAAGGAGACUUCCUUAGUACCGUAACUAACGCGUGAAGUUGGCCGCCUGGGGAGUACGGUCGCAAGAUUAAAACUCAAAGGAAUUGACGGGGACCCGCACAAGCGGUGGAUGAUGUGGAUUAAUUCGAUGCAACGCGAAAAACCUUCACCUACCCUUGACAUGGCAGGAAUCCUGCAGAGAUGUGGGAGUGCUCGAAAGAGAACCUGCGCACAGGUGCUGCAUGGCUGUCGUCAGCUCGCGUCGUGAGAUGUUGGGUUAAGUCCCGCAACGAGCGCAACCCUUGUCAUUAGUUGCCAUCAUUCAGUUGGGCACUCUAAUGAGACUGCCGGUGACAAACCGGAGGAAGGUGGGGAAGACGUCAAGUCCUCAUGGCCCUUAUGGGUAGGGCUUCACACGUCAUACAAUGGUCGGUACAGAGGGUUGCCAAGCCGCGAGGUGGAGCCAAUCCCAGAAAGCCGAUCGUAGUCCGGAUCGUAGUCUGCAACUCGACUGCGUGAAGUCGGAAUCGCUAGUAAUCGCGGAUCAGCAUGCCGCGGUGAAUACGUUCCCGGGUCU
rnacentral:rRNA from 1 species